rnacentral:rRNA from 1 species
UGUGUAGGCGGUAUAUUAAGUCUGUUGUUAAAUGCUUCGGCCUAACCGAAGACCUGCGGCGGAAACUGAUAUGCUAGAGGUUGGAAGAGAGAAGUGGAAUUCUCGGAGUAGCGGUAAAAUGCGUAGAUCUCGAGAGGAACACCAAUGGCGAAGGCAGCUUCUUGGUCCAUACCUGACGCUGAAACACGAAAGCGUGGGGAGCAAACAGGAUUAGAUACCCUGGUAGUCCACGCUGUAAACGAUGAUCACUGGACGUCAGUUUUGUUUUACAGAAUUGGUGUCGUAGCUAACGCGCUAAGUGAUCCGCCUGGGGACUACGGUCGCAAGAUUAAA